UGAGGAAUAUUGGUCAAUGGGCGAAAGCCUGAACCAGCCAAGUAGCGUGCAGGAUGACGGCCCUCUGGGUUGUAAACUGCUUUUAGUCGGGAAUAAAAUGCGGCACGUGUGCCGCUUUGCAUGUACCGUCAGAAAAAGGACCGGCUAAUUCCGUGCCAGCAGCCGCGGUAAUACGGAAGGUCCAGGCGUUAUCCGGAUUUAUUGGGUUUAAAGGGAGCGCAGGCGGACUUUUAAGUCAGCUGUUAAAUUCGGUGGCUCAACCAUCGCAUGCAGUUGAAACUGGAGGUCUUGAGUGUACACAGGGAUGCUGGAAUUCAUGGUGUAGCGGUGAAAUGCUCAGAUAUCAUGAAGAACUCCAAUCGCGAAGGCAGGCAUCCGGGGUGCAACUGACGCUGAGGCUCGAAAGUGCGGGUAUCAAACAGGAUUAGAUACCCUGGUAGU
rnacentral:rRNA from 1 species